AUACGGAGGAUCCGAGCGUUAUCCGGAUUUAUUGGGUUUAAAGGGAGCGUAGGUGGACAGUUAAGUCAGUUGUGAAAGUUUGCGGCUCAACCGUAAAAUUGCAGUUGAUACUGGUUGUCUUGAGUACAGUAGAGGUGGGCGGAAUUCGUGGUGUAGCGGUGAAAUGCUUAGAUAUCACGAAGAACUCCGAUUGCGAAGGCAGCUCACUGGACUGCAACUGACACUGAUGCUCGAAAGUGUGGGUAUCAAACAGGAUUAGAUACCCUGGUAGUCCACACAGUAAACGAUGAAUACUCGCUGUUUGCGAUAUACAGUAAGCGGCCAAGCGAAAGCAUUAAGUAUUCCACCUGGGGAGUACGCCGGCAACGGUGAAACUCAAAUGAAUUGGCGGGG
rnacentral:rRNA from 1 species